GUGGUGAAAAAGUUACCACAAUACGUGGGUCGUGUGAGAUCACAUUUUUCUUCACCAUUGAAGCUUCAUCAUUCAAUUCUUGUAGGGUUCUUGCUCCCAUCACAAUAUUCAUCAUCACCAUCAACAUCACAGCCACAAGGACUAACACACCAAAACCUAAUUUCUUUUUGUAGUUCAUCUUCAUACUUCUUUAAAAUCACUUCUUUAUUUGAGGAAACCCUUCUCCAACAUGUAAGCAAUACAUGUACACCUAUAUUUAGUCCUCUUCACUAUAUAACAAUAAACCACACAGAUUUCAACCAAAUAGUUUGAGGAAUGUUCAACCACCACUAAUUCUAUACCUGUCUUUUGCCUUUUUCUUACUUUUAGACUAUUUUGAGUAAAUUUUCAUCAACCAUAAUACUUGGUUCUUAUAUACUUCAAUAAUUUUAACAUUUAUUUUUUAUAAUUAAAUAAGAAGUAAUGUAAUUCAAGACAAACUAUAGAUAGGAGGAGCUACAUAUAUAUACUUUUCUUUUUUUAGAAUUUGUGUAAUUUUAGUUUUAGCAUAAAUGGAUAUGGUAUGUUAACUUUCUCUACCAUCAUCUCUAAACAAAUUGAAAAACGUUUUAUGUGAGAAUGAGGACAAACAACUGGUUUUUAGCAAUUAUAGAUUAAGAAAUGUUCAUUUACAGAAAUGGUUCAUUAAAACAAUGUUCAUUCCGAAAUGAAAGAAUGUCGAUUGUUUGGCGAUGAGUGUAUUUCUAACCACUUCAGAAAGACUUUAGGUUCACAAGGAAUUUUAACUGGCAGCCAAUCAAUAAUGAACUUAUAGAGCCACUAACGCCAAAAAAAUGCUUGUAAAUAUGACUUAAGAAAAAGCUGGUAUAUGCACUUCAAUUAGCCAAUCGAUAAUGAAGUUAUAGAGACGCUGAUGCUAAAGAAAAUGCUUGUAAAUAUGACUUAAGAAAAAGCUGGUAUAUGCAUUUCAAUUAGCCAAAAAUCAAAACAUCUUGAAAAUAUCAUCACUAAUAUCAUCACCAGUAUGUGUUAGAUAAGGAAAACUUACUAACAAUGAACCAAAACAAUUCUUCUUGUAACCUCUAUUCUCAAUCCAAUCACACUUAAACAAAACUACUUUAUAUCUAAAGAUAAAAUAGAGCCAGAAAUGGGUGAAUUCACCAUCUACAAGUCAAUUAAAAGACUAGAUUAGACCAUGCACUGAUCUUUUGAAACUUACUAAGUCACUUUAAUAAAAGCUUUAUAUGUACAUAUAUAUACAUAUAUAUAUUAAUAGAAAGUGAAUAUAACUUACAAGUACAGCUAGCAUCAAUGAGGGUCCAUUCCAAAUAGAUGUUGAAAUAGAAACCAAAUGUUAAAUAAAAAUUGGUUUCUAGCACUCACUGAUAGCUGGUAGCAUGUGAACCCAUCAUGCAUCGAACAACACACUGAAGAAGGAAAGCUGAACAAAAUAUAUACGAGAUUAUAUGCAUAUAUACACACGAACAGAAAAUUGUACAUCUCAGGGAGAGGCACAAAAUUCUUCUUUUCUCAGGGAAUAACCUGAAGUACUUUCAAGACAACUACUCCAGACCGAAGCAAAUUGAAUAUACAUCAUAUGAAUAAAUUACAUUUGACAGACCACUAAAAUUAAUGAAUAGCAGAUUAGAGGAGGCUUCCUUUUCUUGAUCUGGGCUGAGGUAAGUUAACAAAUAAGUAUCUUGAAAAGUUCCUAGAUGUCAUUAACUUCUAUUUGAACAAACCAUAAAUCAACUACAAAUUCUCAGUAGAAACUUCAAGCAGAUUCAACCAAAUUGACAAAAAAGCCAAACCCAAACAUAAACUAAAAAAAAAAAAAAAAAUCAGAAAUAAUCAGAGUAAAGCAACAUCACAUAAACUCAACAUCACACACGAAAGAGGAAACAACUAUGAGAAAAAAUUCUACAUAGCACCUGAAAUGAAAAACCAGAAGCUAUUAGAAAUCUCUACCUUGAUAUCCUGGUGCAGAUAAGUCAACGUUGAAGCUUGAAGCAACGAGAGAUAGUAGAAUUCAGGCAACAGAAGAGACCAUAGAAGCGUGAUGAAGGAGACUUAAAUAAUGGAGUUCGGCCACUGAUGAUUGAUGACGAUGAGGAAGGUCGUGUUGACGAGAGAUGAAAAGGAUGGAGUCAGGCUACUGAAUAGGAGAGAUGACGAUAAUGG
rnacentral:lncRNA from 1 species